rnacentral:rRNA from 1 species
CCUACGGGGGGCAGCAGUGAGGAAUAUUGGUCAAUGGACGAGAGUCUGAACCAGCCAAGUAGCGUGAAGGAUGACUGCCCUAUGGGUUGUAAACUUCUUUUAUAUGGGAAUAAAAUGUUCCACGUGUGGGAUUUUGUAUGUACCAUAUGAAUAAGGAUCGGCUAACUCCGUGCCAGCAGCCGCGGUAAUACGGAGGAUCCGAGCGUUAUCCGGAUUUAUUGGGUUUAAAGGGAGCGUAGGUGGAUUGUUAAGUCAGUUGUGAAAGUGUGCGGCUCAACCGUAAAAUUGCCGUUGAAACUGGCAGUCUUGAGUACAGUAGAGGUGGGCGGAAUGCGUGGUGUAGCGGUGAAAUGCUUAGAUAUCACGAAGAACUCCGAUUGCGAAGGCAGUUCACUGGACUGCAACUGACACUGAGGCUCGAAAGUGUGGGUAUCAAACAGGAUUAGAUACCCGAGUAGUC